UGGUCUUUGAGAGAGGUCAAUUCUG
rnacentral:piRNA from 1 species